GACGAACGCUGGCGGCGUGCCUAAUACAUGCAAGUUGAGCGCUGAAGGUUGGUACUUGUACCAACUGGAUGAGCAGCGAACGGGUGAGUAACGCGUGGGGAAUCUGCCUUUGAGCGGGGGACAACAUUUGGAAACGAAUGCUAAUACCGCAUAAAAACUUUAAACACAAGUUUUAAGUUUGAAAGAUGCAAUUGCAUCACUCAAAGAUGAUCCCGCGUUGUAUUAGCUAGUUGGUGAGGUAAAGGCUCACCAAGGCGAUGAUACAUAGCCGACCUGAGAGGAGGAUCGGCCACAUUGGGACGGAGACACGGCCCAAACUCCUACGGGAGGCAGCAGUAGGGAAUCUUCGGCAAUGGACGAAAGUCUGACCGAGCAACGCCGCGUGAGUGAAGAAGGUUUUCGGAUCGUAAAACUCUGUUGGUAGAGAAGAACGUUGGUGAGAGUGGAAAGCUCAUCAAGUGACGGUAACUACCCAGAAAGGGACGGCUAACUACGUG
rnacentral:rRNA from 1 species